rfam:Hordeum vulgare subsp. vulgare, WGS project CAJW01000000 data, contig: morex_contig_141058
AGCAUGGAUGAUGAGGAGGUGAUCUCUCACAUCCUUGCCGGACUCGAUGAGGAAUUUGAUCCGGUGGUGUAGGCCAUGUGCUCCCGGGUCAAACCUGUCAAGAUCCUGAAGCUUUACUCACAGGUCCUGAGCUUUGAGA